AGAAUGAACGCUGGCGGCAUGCCUAACACAUGCAAGUCGAACGAAGGCUUCGGCCUUAGUGGCGCACGGGUGCGUAACGCGUGGGAAUCUACCCCUUGGUUCGGAAUAACAGUUGGAAACGACUGCUAAUACCGGAUGAUGACGUAAGUCCAAAGAUUUAUCGCCGAGGGAUGAGCCCGCGUAGGAUUAGCUAGUUGGUGUGGUAAAGGCGCACCAAGGCGACGAUCCUUAGCUGGUCUGAGAGGAUGAUCAGCCACACUGGGACUGAGACACGGCCCAGACUCCUACGGGAGGCAGCAGUGGGGAAUAUUGGACAAUGGGCGAAAGCCUGAUCCAGCAAUGCCGCGUGAGUGAUGAAGGCCUUAGGGUUGUAAAGCUCUUUUACCCGGGAUGAUAAUGACAGUACCGGAGAAUAAGCUCCGGCUAACUCCGCGCCAGCAGCCGC
rnacentral:rRNA from 1 species